CCCCCCCAUUCACACGCCUACUCUCUCUCUCUCUUACCUCUAUCUCUUUUCCCUUUCUACCACCAUGGAUAACCAUUCUCAAAGCUUCCAAGAUCAUUUCUAUACCAAGAAACUCCAUCAAAUCAAGUCCUAAACAUCUAUAUUCCUUGAAUCAAGAACUAGUUUGGAGGGAUUUUCAAGCUUGAAGCAAAAGAGAAGAUUUUUAUCCUUCCUUAAAUAAUUGAAUACGAGCAGAGGACGGAGGUAAGAUCGCCCAAGUACUACGAGAGUAAGCUAAGUUUGUCAAGUGGAAAUUAUUUUGAUAUGCCUAUUAUACGAGCUUUCUUAAAUGAUAUGAUACUUAUGAUUAUGAAUUGAGUUAAUGUUAUGCUUGAAACUAAUUGACUUGCCGAGUUUUGUUAAUAAUGACUUGUGUGUUACCCUCUACUGAUGAGACGAAUUCGGUCCUGCCACAAGCGGGAUUUUGUGCACAGAGGUGACUGUGAGCCGUCUAUCGGGUCGGCCGGUCACGGUACUUGAGAGGGAGGCCUACUUCUCAGUACCUUUGAUGAUGAAUAGUAUAUGGUACAUGCAUAAUGAAUAUUUAAACUGCGCAGUUACUUUAUUAUUAUGUUAUGAUUUGCGAAAUUGCAUGCACAGGUUCUUCUCUAACUAAAACCCAUGUGCGUUGCUUAAUGUGGCAAGUUCAAUUUAUAGCUCUAAGAGCAAGCUUUCAUUUGUUUUUCGGCAUAUGUCCACAGAGUACUUUGUACUCAGCCCUGCAUGUAUUUCUAAAUGUGCAGGAUAAGCGAGGAGGAGGAAGAUCGGUCUGGUGCUGGCGGGGACUUUUUGGACGACGUUGUUUCUUUUACCGUAUUCCUACGUCAUACGGUAGCCUUUUGAGGUUGGAUGUGUAUAUUUUGAACUUAUUCAGGAAAUACACUCUCGGCUAUAUGUCUUCAUACAUAUAGUCUGAUCACGUUUUGUUGCGAGACUCUGUAAAUUAUAAACCUUUGUAAAUUUUUAACUAUGCCCGCUUUGUAAACUUUGUCGAGAAUCUCUGUACUUUUGAACUUAUGAAGCCGAUAAUAUUUGUGUCUUUGAGAUGAUGUUAUUGUUGU